UGACGGUACCCUUUCGAAUAAGAGGUUGCCAACUCUGUGCCAGCAGCAGCGGUAAUACAGAGACCUCGAGCGUUAUCCGGAUUUACUGGGCGUAAAGCGUCUGUAGGGGGUUUGUUAAGUUCCAAGUAAAAUCUUAAGGCUCAACUUUAAGUUCGCUUGGAAAACUAAUAAACUGGAGUCCAGCAGAGGUGCAUGGAACUUGCGGUGUAGGAGUGAAAUCCGUUGAUAUCGCAAGGAACACCAAAGGCGAAGGCAUUGCACUGGGCUGGUACUGACCCUGAGAGACGAAAGCGUGGGGAGCAAAACGGAUUAGAUACCCGUGUAGUCCACGCCGUAAACGAUGGAUACUUAGAUGUUCGGGGAUUCGACCCCCUGGGUGUCACAGCUAACGCGUUAAGUAUCCCGCCUGGGAAGUACGGCCGCAAGGCUAAAACUCAAAGGAAUAGACGGGGAUCCGCACAAGCGGUGGAGCGUCUGGUUUAAUUUGAUAGUAAGCAAUGGACCUCACCAAGGUUUGACAUCCUAUGACAACCCUGGAAACAGGGCUUCCUUCGGGCAUAGUGACAGGUGCUGCAUGGUCGUCGUCAGUUCGUGCCGUGAGGUGUUCCGUUAAGUCGGGAAACGAACGAAACCCUCGUCGCAUGUUACAAAUUUCAUGCGAGACUGCCCGGGUCAACCGGGAGGAAGGCGGGGAUGACGUCAGAUCAGCAUGGCCCUUAUACCUUGGGCUACACAGGCGCUACAAUGGCCGGUACAAAGGGUUGCAAAACCGCGAGGUGAAGCUAAUCCCAUAAAGCCGGUCCAAGUUCGGAUUGGAGGCUGCAACUCGCCUCCAUGAAGUUGGAAUCGCUAGUAAUCGUGGAUCAGCCAUACCACGGUGAAUACGUUCCCGGAUCUUGUACUCACCGCCCGUCACACCAAGAGAGUUGGUAGCUCCUGAAGCGUCGCAUUAG
rnacentral:rRNA from 1 species